rnacentral:rRNA from 1 species
UACGAAGGGUGCAAGCGUUAGUCGGAAUUACUGGGCGUAAAGUGUGCGCAGGUGGCUGAGCAAGUCGAGUGUGAAAUCCCCGGGCUUAACUUGGGAAUUGCGCUCGAAACUACUUGGCUCGAGUGUGGCAGAGGAAGGCGGAAUUCCAGGUGUAGCGGUGAAAUGCGUAGAGAUCUGGAGGAACACCGAUGGCGAAGGCAGCCUUCUGGGCCAACACUGACGCUCAUGCACGAAAGCGUGGGGAGCAAACAGG